rnacentral:miRNA from 2 species
UGGAGAUACGGCCCUGUUGGA